GAAUUUUGGACAAUGGGCGAAAGCCUGAUCCAGCAAAGCCGCGUGCAGGAUGAAGGCCUUCGGGUUGUAAACUGCUUUUGUACGGAACGAAAAGCUUUGGGUUAAUACCCUGGAGUCAUGACGGUACCGUAAGAAUAAGCACCGGCGACCUACGCACCGGCAGCCGCGGUAAGUCGUAGGGUGCAAGCGUUAAUCGGAACUACGGGGCGUAAAGCGUGCGCAGGCGGCUUUGUAAGACAGAGGUGAAAUCCCCGGGCUCAACCUGGGAACUGCCGUUGUGACUGCAAGGCUAGAGUACGGCAGAGGGGGGUGGAAUUCCGCGUGUAGCAGUGAAAUGCGUAGAUAUGCGGAGGAACACCGAUGGCGAAGGCAACCCCCUGGGCCUGUACUGACGCUCAUGCACGAAAGCGUGGGGAGCAAAC
rnacentral:rRNA from 1 species